rnacentral:rRNA from 1 species
AUUGAACGCUGGCGGCAGGCCUAACACAUGCAAGUCGAACGAGUGGCGGACGGGUGAGUAAUGGCUGGGAAUCUGCCUGAUGGAGGGGGAUAACUACUGGAAACGGUAGCUAAUACCGCAUACUAUCAGAUCUGCCCAGAUGGGAUUAGCUUGUUGGUGGGGUAAAGGCUCACCAAGGCGACGAUCCCUAGCUGGUCUGAGAGGACGACCGGCCACACGGGAACUGAGAAACGGUCCAGACUCCUACGGGAGGAAGCAGUGGGGAAUAUUGCACAAUGGGCGAAUGCCUGAUGAAGACAUGCCGGGUGUAUGAAGAAGGUCUUCGGGUUGUAAAGUACUUUCAGCGGGGAGGCGUUACCCACAGAAGAAGCACCGGCUAACUCCGUGCCAGCAGCCGCGGUAAUAC